rnacentral:rRNA from 1 species
AGAGUUCGAUUAUGGCUCAGGAUGAACGCUGGCGGCGUGCCUAACACAUGCAAGUCGAGCGAGAAAUUUCUAAAUGAAACUUCGGUAGAUUUUAGGGAUGGAAAGCGGCGGACGGGUGAGUAACGCGUAGGCAACCUGCCCCUUGCAGAGGGAUAGCCAUUGGAAACGAUGAUUAAAACCUCAUAAUACCGGAGCAUCACAUGUUGAACCGGUCAAAGAUUUAUCGGCAAGGGAUGGGCCUGCGUCUGAUUAGCUGGUUGGUGGGGUAACGGCCUACCAAGGCGACGAUCAGUAGCCGACCUGAGAGGGUGAUCGGCCACAUUGGAACUGAGACACGGUCCAA